rnacentral:rRNA from 1 species
CUGAGACUAAGCCAUGCAUGUCUAAGUAUAAACAAAUUUGUACUGUAAAACUGCGGACGGCUCAUUAAAUCAGUUACAAUCUACUUGAUCGUAUAUUCAAAGAAUUAAUCGGGUAACCCUAGUAAUUCUAGAGCUAAUACGUGCAAAAAGCUCCGACCUCUUCUUUUAGGGGAAAGAGUGUAUUUAUUAGGUAACUUAAAACCAAUCAGCCCAAAAGGCUGUUUUGUUGAUGAUUCAUAAUAACUUUGCAAAUCGCGGGCCAAUGUCUGCGAUGAUACAAACGAGUUUCUGACCUAUCAACUUUAGAUGGCAGGAUAGGGGCUUGCCAUGGUGACAACGGGUGACGGGGAAUUAGGGUUCGAUUCCGGAGAGGGAGCCUGAGAAACGGCUACCACUUCCAAGGAAGGCAGCAGGCGCGACA